rnacentral:lncRNA from 1 species
ACCUGGCACUCGCCACUCGAUUUUGAGUACCUAGUAUGUAAUGGAAUGAAAUUUCUUUUCUUUGAUUUUAUUCAUUGCAGAUUCUUGAAACAUAUUAAAUCUAUUUUGUUCUUUUUCCUUCUUUAUAUUAUAUGGUCAUUUGCGGUCAAUAAACUAAAGCAGAGUAAUAACUCAAGACGUGCGUUAUUGUUGUUUAUACACACG